UGUCCCCUCAUCCUGGGGGGCUGCGUCCCAAGAUCCCUAGCGGGCACCUGAAAUCAUGGUAGCCCUGAACCCUCCUCGUACGCUGUGGUUUUUCCUAUAAUACAUGCCUGUGUCUCUCAGCCGGCAGGUGACUGGGACGGUUCUGAGGUGUAGAAUCUCCCUCCCAAGCCCUGGUGCCAGCGGCAGCAAUGACCAAAGCGAGGGUGGGGGCUGGGUGCACAGUUACGGGAGGAGCAGAAGGGCCAGGCCAGGGAAAGGGCAGGAGUAUGUCAGGGAGGAGGGCUGAGGGACGGACAGCCAGUACCCCGGAUGGGCUGGGAAAAGGCGGGACACCAGGCUGGGCAGGGGCUCAGGGCAUCCUGGCAGGAGGUGACAAAGCAGUGAGAAUGGCAGGUGGUCUCUGCAGAGGAGCUGGGAUCAGGUGCCUCCCCACCCCACCCCAGCAGGGCAGGCAGCCUGAAGGUGCCCUUGCAGGAAGAGUGUGCCGAGCCAGGGACAUCUUGAAACCGGGAUGAAGGUCUCCAGGGCCGCGGUGGAGAUGAGGACGGCUCAGGGAGAGGUGGCCUCCAGCCCCAAGAGGACUCCCCGGGCUUGUGCUCUCUGGCGGUGCAGCACUUCCAGAGAGGUCUCACUUCAUUUCUACUGGCUCUCAGGCUGUGCUUCCCGCCGUGUGCCCCUUGCCCCUGGAUGGAGAAACAGCUCCACCUUUCCUCUCGCCAGCCACCAGCUUCGGCUCCUGCUGCACGACUGAAUCCCUAUGCCGUGCUCACCUAGGAUGGCUUCUGCGGUUGUUUGAAACCCUAGAGAGUUUUGUCUUUGCAGAUGGCCUCGAGCCGGUCCUCUCACCCUCUCACCGGUGCUAAAGAUCAUCUGUGUUCCGCCCCAAAGACACGGCCGUGUCAGAAGUAUCGCUGCAGCACCACGUUACACCACACAGGAGCUGAGCUGCUUCCUCUGGGCGUCUCCACCCUGUCGGGGAGUCUGGCCCCUCUUGAAGGAACUUUGCACCUGUCCAAGAGCCCUCACUUUGAGGGCAGCUUGCAAAGCUGAGGUUUACCCCAUCUGCCUCCCGCCCUGCCCAGGCCCUGGGAAAAUAGAAUCACAUGAAGAUAUUCAGGUUCCAGGGUUAGCAUUUGUCGCCACUUCGGAGGAAGGUCGGGCUGCUUGUGUGUGUCCCUGCCUCCUGGUCCCUGGCAUAGCCCUGCAGACCAUACCCAGAGCCCCGCUUUCCUUGCCCUGACCACAAGCCUCCCUCUGCAGAGAUGUUUUGUCCCAACACUCAGGGAUGCUGGACGCAUAACAGCUUCUGGUUAAAAAUGUAUCUGUCUGCUAUAAGCCUGUGAAUGGGUCUACUCAGUGUGAUCAAAGACUAUGGUGGACAUUUAAAUAAAUUAAAUCUACUACAGUAAAAGACAUUGCCAUUCACCCCCUCCAGGUGCUCACCCUUGCUCUGAACACGCUCAUCCUGUGAUCCUUGCCAUCUUCUGGAGUAGCUCUGGAUGUCCUCCCUUGGGGGUAUCUUUACUUGUGCAGUUGUGGCUGCUGCGGUGUCCAGAAUCCGUUCAAAACCCUUGCCUUCCGUG